rnacentral:rRNA from 1 species
GUGGGGAAUCUUCCGCAAUGGACGAAAGUCUGACGGAGCAACGCCGCGUGAGUGAUGACGGCCUUCGGGUUGUAAAGCUCUGUGAUCGGGGACGAAUGGCUGGUAUGCUAAUACCAUAUCAGAGUGACGGUACCCGAAUAGCAAGCCACGGCUAACUACGUGCCAGCAGCCGCGGUAAUACGUAGGUGGCAAGCGUUGUCCGGAAUUAUUGGGCGUAAAGCGCGCGCAGGCGGCUUCUUAAGUCCAUCGUAAAAGUGCGGGGCUUAACCCCGUGAUGGGAUGGAAACUGGGAGGCUGGAGUAUCGGAGAGGAAAGUGGAAUUCCUAGUGUAGCGGUGAAAUGCGUAGAGAUUAGGAAGAACACCGGUGGCGAAGGCGACUUUCUGGACGACAACUGACGCUGAGGCGCGAAAGCGUGGGGAGCAAACAGGAUUAGAAACCCUUGUAGUCC